rnacentral:misc_RNA from 1 species
UGGCGAAGAGGAUAAAAGUAAAAGUAAAAAAGUAAAUAAAUUAUGCAGAUUCAGAGCAUGAUGACGCGUGUGCUGCUGGUAGGAGGAGGGCUGACCAGUGCAGUGACUGGUGCAAUGCUUCGCAGAGAACUUCCACAUGUUGAACUGGUCUUGUGGGACAAAGCCCGAGGAGCUGGAGGUCGUAUGUCAACAAGUCGCAGCCCACACGACUCUUCCUGUACGGCUGAUCUAGGUGCUCAAUACAUCUCAGCAACUCCAGAAUAUGCUAAACUGCACAACUUGUAUUAUGAAGAACUUAUUAAUGCAGAAGUGUUGACGCCACUCAAUACUAAAGUGGCUGGUAUGAAGAGAAGUGAAGAAGGUACCAAGCACUAUGUAACUCCACGUGGAAUAUCAUCUAUAGUAAAACAUUUUAUGAAAGAAGCAAAUCUCACGGCAAGAUUUGAUCAUCAUGUAAGAAGCAUUUAUAUGGAUAAUGGUAGAUGGAGUGUGAGAACUAGUGAAGGUGAGGCUGACCAUUUUGAUGCUGUGGUUCUGACAAUGCCUGUACCACAGAUACUGGGAUUAACUGGCACUGUUAAGGAUGUAAUAGAGAAGGAUGAAAAACUGCGUUCAAGCUUGCAGUCUGUUGAUUAUAGCUCCCGGUAUGCACUUGGUUUGUUUUACGAGGAAGAUGCAAGUAUCAGCCUUCAAGAUGAAGCAGCAGCACAAUAUAUUACAAAUGAUUCUAUUUUCCGAUUUGUUGCUAUAGACAACAAAAAAAGAGGCCAAGAGAGUAUGGCUUCAUCAGUCGUUCUACACACUUCGGUGCCAUUUGGUAAAGCCCAUGUAGAGGAGACGCCUGAUCAAGUUAAACCAAUACUUCUGAACAAUGUCAAAGAAAUGUUUCCAGAUUGGCCGGAACCAAAAUUUGUCAAAUGCCAGAAGUGGAGAUUUUCUCAGGUAACAUCAGCAUAUCCUGGUCUUCCUGGCUGUAUAAUAUUAGCUGAUGGACUGGUUGCUGGCGGUGAUGGUUUUACACAUUCCAACAUGGAUGGCUGUAUAGAGUCUGCAAAAUCAAUAGUCGCUGCCGUCGUUCAGUACGUCAGUAAAUGAUGUUAGCAUGCUAAUAGUCCAUUGCUUGGGUUAGUACACUUCAGCAAAUUAAGGAUUGAACAGUGAUGAAGAGAAAUAUGAGAAGCAAAAAUUAUAGUACUGUACAGUAUAGCUUAUAAUACAGCAUAAUGUUACAGUACAGUACCUGUACUUCAUUUCUUUGAUAAUGUCAAAUAGAAGAGAUAAAAACAAAAUGUAGCUGUUUCCUCUUACUGUAAUAAAGCACAAGAGAUUGAAGUCUUUGGAAUUUUAAAUUAUGUCAAAAUGCAAGAAAGUUUUCCUUUAGUUUAUGAUGUGUAUAAGAAGAAUUGACUCAUAGUUGUUGUUUAUCAUUUCACUUUUCAAGAGAGAAGUUAAAAGCAUUAUUAGUAACCUGCUUAAUGGUUGUCUUAUUGCCCCAUAAAAAGUGCAUACUGCAAGGAUCAUGAAUUUAUGAACCUUGAGAUUAGAAAAUUUAGUUCUAAAAAACUCUUGAGAACUCUGAACUCCUCAAGGCUGUAUUGAAUUAUCUUUCCUCAAAAGUGGAUUAGUUAUUUGCAUCUUGCCUUUUGAAUAAUGAGAAAAAGAUUUAAUUCUUCUGCCUUGUUUUGACUGGAGUCUAAAUAACUCCCAUCUUCAAGCCUCCGACCUGAUACUAUAUUGUACACUCACAACUUGCCCUUAAUUUUGAUUGUGUGAAAUGAUAGAAACUUGGGUAUUGACUUGGCAAUCCACCUCAAGAAUACACUUUUCUCCCCCUUCACACUCUGACCUAGCAUACAUCUUUCUGUCCCGCUUGUCAAUAGUACCAACCAAUCUUUUGGAACUUUUGACAUUUCUUCCUAACUUUGGUAUGUGCUCCUUGGUUUAUGUGUACAGGUUUCUGGGAUGUGCCUGAACUAACUGGCUCAGACUUAGAUACUGUAUGUAUUUCCCUAGCAAAAAUUUAAUAUCACCAGUUGCAUUUUCCAAGAAUCCACAUCCAUAUUGUUCUAUAAGUUAGGCCAGUCAAUGCUCCCCCACUCUUGUCAUAAUCACCAAUAUAAUAUUUGAACCUCAGCUGCUCUUGUACCAUAUAACAAAUAAACCUAAGGGACAGUGCCACAUCAUGUCUAGUGUCAUUGGGUGGGGGUUAUAUGUUCUAUUGUGACCACCAUACCCUCUUCAGUGGUCUUGAUGUAUGUUUACUUUUUUAGUGAGUUGGAUCUAUUUAAUGUUUUUUUAACGGGAAAUUGUCUCUCGGAACUAAAACAAAACAAACUUGCAGUGCUAUUAAGUUUGUUCAUUAUAUUUUCAAUUCUCCUGUUGAUAUGACCAUAAUUGAACCCCCAUUACACGGAGGAGACUAAAGUUGAAUGCUAUUGUACUCUUUAUUAUGGAAAUUAUCCCAAACUCCCAUUGUUUUAAUAAACUACAAUUUGGUGAUCUGUAAAUGCAUCUAGCAAU